CCUACGGGAGGCAGCAGUGAGGAAUAUUGGUCAAUGGGCGAGAGCCUGAACCAGCCAAGCCGCGUGAGGGAGUACUGCCCUAUGGGUUGUAAACCUCUUUUGUCGGGGAGCAAAAGCCGGACGUGUUCGGCUGUGAGAGUACCCGAAGAAAAAGCAUCGGCUAACUCCGUACCAGCAGCCGCGGUAAUACGGAGGCUGCGAGCGUUAGCAGGAUUUAUUGGGUUUAAAGGGUGCGCAGGCGGAUUUUUUAGGUAGCGGUAAAUGCGCGGGGCUCAACCCCAUCCAGCCGUUGAAACUGGGGAUCUAGAGUGUGCGAGAGGUGUGCGGAAUGCGUGGUGUAGCGGUGAAAUGCAUAGAUAUCACGCAGAACACCGAUUGCGAAGGCAGCAUACCGGUGCACAACUGACGCUCAGGCACGAAAGCGUGGGUAUCGAACAGGAUUAGAUACCCUAGUAGUC
rnacentral:rRNA from 1 species